rnacentral:rRNA from 1 species
GCCGAACGCUGGCGGCGUGCCUAAUACAUGCAAGUCGACCUUAGUGGCGAACGGGUGAGUAACCCGUGGGUAACCUGCCCCUCCGAAGGGGAUAACACUUGGAAACAGUUGCUCAUACCGUAUACUGAUUGCUGGAACCGCGGUGCAUUAGCUAGUUGGUGGGGUAACGGCUCACCAAGUCCACGAGGCAUAGCGGACCUGAGAGGGUGAUCAGCCACAUUGGGACUGAGAAACGGCCCAAACUCCUACGGGAGGCAGCAGUAGGGAAUCUUCGGCAAUGGACGAAAGUCUGACCGAGCAACGCCGCGUGAGUGAAGAAGGUUUUCGGAUCGUAAAAUUCUGUUGUUAGAGAAGCGGUAUCUAACCAGAAAGCCACGGCUAACUACGUGCCAGCAGCCGCGGUAAUUC